rnacentral:rRNA from 1 species
UACGGGGGGGUAAGCGUUGUUCGGAAUUACUGGGCGUAAAGGGCUCGUAGGUGGCCAACUAAGUCAGACGUGAAAUCCCUCAGCUUAACUGGGGAACUGCGUCUGAUACUGGAUGGCUUGAGUUUGGGAGAGGGAUGCGGAAUUCCAGGUGUAGCGGUGAAAUGCGUAGAUAUCUGGAGGAACACCGGUGGCGAAGGCGGCAUCCUGGACCAACACUGACACUGAGGAACGAAAGCCAGGGGAGCAAACGGG